rnacentral:rRNA from 1 species
CCCUUAGAUGUCCUGGGCCGCACGCGCGCUACACUGAUGCAUUCAACGAGCUUAUAACCUUGGCCGAGAGGCCUGGGCAAUCUUGUUAACGUGCAUCGUGAUAGGGAUAGAUUAUUGAAAUUAUUAAUCUUGAACGAGGAAUUCCUAGUAAACGCAGAUCAUCAAUCUGCAUUGAUUACGUCCCUGCCCUUUGUACACACCGCCCGUCGCACCUACCGAUUGGAUGGUCUGGUGAAGCCUCGGGAUUGUGGUUCUUGCCGCUUUAUUGUGGCGUGACCGCGAGAACUUGUCUAAACCUUAUCAUCUAGAGGAAGGUGAAGUCGUAACA